rnacentral:rRNA from 1 species
CGUAGGUAACCUGCCUGGUAGCGGGGGAGUAACUAUUGGAAACGAUAGCUAAUACCGCAUAACAGUAGAUAUUGCAUGAUAUCUGCUUGAAAGGGGCAAUUGCUCCACUACCAGAUGGACCUGCGUUGUAUUAGCUAGUUGGUGAGGUAACGGCUCACCAAGGCGACGAUACAUAGCCGACCUGAGAGGGUGAUCGGCCACACUGGGACUGAGACACGGCCCAGACUCCUACGGGAGGCAGCAUG